rnacentral:rRNA from 1 species
AACGAACGCUGGCGGCAGGCUUAACACAUGCAAGUCGAACGAGAUCUUCGGAUCUAGUGGCAGACGGGUGAGGAACACGUGGGAACAUCCCUUUCAGUUCGGAAUAACGUUGGGAAACUAAUGCUCAUACCGGAUACGUCCUUCGGGAGAAAGAUUUAUCGCUGAAAGAUUGGCCCGCGUCUGAUUAGCUAGUUGGUGAGGUAAUGGCUCACCAAGGCUACGAUCAUUAGCUGAUUUGUGAGGAUGAUCAGCCACAUUGGGACUGAGACACGGCCCGAACUCCUACGGGAGGCAGCAGUGGGGAAUAUUGGACAAUGGGCGCAAGCCUGAUCCAGCCAUGCCGCGUGAGUGAUGACGGCCUUCGGGUUGUAAAGCUCUUUUGUCCGGGAAGAUAAUGACUGUACCGGAAGAAUAAGCCCCGGCAAACUUCGUGCCAGCCGCCGCGGUAA